rnacentral:rRNA from 1 species
UACGUAGGGGGCAAGCGUUAUCCGGAUUCACUGGGCGUAAAGGGCGCGUAGGCGGUUAUGUAAGUCAGGCGUGAAAGCUCACGGCUCAACUGUGGACGUGCGUCUGAUACUGCAUUGACUUGAGGUCGGUAGAGGCAACUGGAACUAGCGGUGUAGCGGUGAAAUGCGCAGAUAUCGCUAGGAACGCCGGUGGCGAAGGCGAGUUGCUGGGCCGUACCUGACGCUGAGGCGCGAAAGCUAGGGGAGCGAACCGG